rnacentral:piRNA from 1 species
UUCUCUAACUAGGGGGAAGUACUACAAGC